GAUGAACGCUGGCGGCGUGCCUAAUACAUGCAAGUCGAGCGAACAGACGAGGAGCUUGCUCCUCUGACGUUAGCGGCGGACGGGUGAGUAACACGUGGAUAACCUACCUAUAAGACUGGGAUAACUUCGGGAAAACGGAGCUAAUACCGAAUAAUAUAUUGAACCGCAUGGUUCAAUAGUGAAAGACGGUUUUGCUGUCACUUCUAUAUGGAUCCGCGCCGCAUUAGCUAGUUGGUAAGGUAACGGCUUACCAAGGCAACGAUGCGAUACCGACCUGAGAGGGUGGUCGGCCCCCCUGGACUGGAGCUACGGUCCAGACUACUACGGGAGGCAGCAGUAGGGUAUCGUCCACUAUGGGAGAAAGCGUGACGGAGCACCGCCGCGUGAGUGAUGAAGUUCUGCGGAUCGGAGAACUCUGCUAUUAGGGAAGAACAAAUGUGUAAGUAACUAUGCACGUCUUGACGGUACCUAAUCAGAAAGCCACGGCUAACUACGUG
rnacentral:rRNA from 1 species